UCCCUGGUGGCUCAGAUGGUAAAGUGUCUGCCUACUGUGCAGGAGACCUGGGUUCGAUUCUUGGAUCGGGAA
rnacentral:tRNA from 1 species